GUUGAGGUACAGGCUGUGCCUCAUACUGGAGAGGGCCCUGGCUCUAGCAGA
rnacentral:miRNA from 1 species